UACGUAGGGGACUAGCGUUGUCCGGAAUCAUUGGGCGUAAAGAGCGUGUAGGCGGCCUGGUAGGUCAGUUGUGAAAACUCGAGGCUCAACCUCGAGACGCCGAUUGAAACCAUCAGGCUAGAGUCCGGAAGAGGAGAGUGGAAUUCCCGGUGUAGCGGUGAAAUGCGCAGAUAUCGGGAAGAACACCCGUGGCUAAGGCGGCUCUCUAGUACGGUACUGACGCUGAGACGCGAAAGCGUGGGGAGCGAACAGG
rnacentral:rRNA from 1 species